rnacentral:misc_RNA from 1 species
CGGAAAAAUAAUGGCACGCGUCGGAGAAAAGCAGCACGGAAUAGAAAUCCCUGUACUUUUGCUAAUCUGUUGCUCAAAGCAGUUCUCAACACUGCUAUAGCUAUCAUAGCCAAAAGAUCCCUUGUGCCCCUUUUGCCCAUCUCAGACAAAAGAACAGAAGCUAGAACAUGGAGUGAUUUCAAACUUCCUUUUUUCUGAAUAAUUUUCUUAGCUUCUUUCGCAACCUGCUUG